UACGAAGGGGGCUCGGGUUGUUCGGGAUCACUGGGCGUAAAGCGCACGCAGGCGGAUCGAUAAGUCGGGGGUGAAAGCCCGGGGCUCAACCUCGGAAUUGUCUUCGAUACUGUCGGUCUCGAGUCCGGGAGAGGUGAGUGGAAUUCCUAGUGUAGAGGUGAAAUUCGUAGAUAUUAGGAAGAACACCAGUGGCGAAGGCGGCUCACUGGCCCGGUACUGACGCUCAGGUGCGAAAGCGUGGGGAGCAAACAGG
rnacentral:rRNA from 1 species